UACGUAGGGUGCAAGCGUUAAUCGGAAUUACUGGGCGUAAAGCGUGCGUAGGCGGUUCUUUAAGUCAGAUGUGAAAUCCCCGGGCUCAACCUGGGAACUGCAUUUGUGACUGCAUAGCUAGAGUACGGUAGAGAGGGAUGGAAUUCCGCGUGUAGCAGUGAAAUGCGUAGAUAUGCGGAGGAACACCGAUGGCGAAGGCAAUCCCCUGGACCUGUACUGACGCUCAUGCACGAAAGCGUGGGGAGCAAACAGG
rnacentral:rRNA from 1 species